CGGCAAUGGAGGAAACUCUGACCGAGCAACGCCGCGUGAACGAUGAAGUAUUUCGGUAUGUAAAGUUCUUUUAUUAGGGAAGAAUGAAUGAUGGAAAAAUCAUUCUGACUGUACCUAAUGAAUAAGCCCCGGCUAACUAUGUGCCAGCAGCCGCGGUAAUACAUAGGGGGCAAGCGUUAUCCGGAAUUAUUGGGCGUAAAGGGUGCGUAGGCGGUUAAAUAAGUUUAUGGUCUAAGUGCAAUGCUCAACAUUGUGAUGCUAUAAAAACUGUUUAGCUAGAGUAAGAUAGAGGCAAGUGGAAUUCCAUGUGUAGUGGUAAAAUGCGUAAAUAUAUGGAGGAACACCAGUAGCGAAGGCGGCUUGCUGGGUCUUUACUGACGCUGAGGCACGAAAGCGUGGGGAGCAAACAGGAUUAGAUACCCUGGUAGUCCACGCCGUAAACGAUGAGUACUAAACGUUGGGUAAAACCAGUGUUGAAGUUAACACAUUAAGUACUCCGCCUGAGUAGUACGUACGCAAGUAUGAAACUUAAAGGAAUUGACGGGACUCCGCCCCAACGGUGGAUCAUGUUGUUUAAUUUGAAGGUACCCGAAAAACCUCACCAGGUCUUUACAUGCUUCUGCAAAGUUGUAGAAAUACAGUGGAGGUUAUCAGUUGCACAGGUGGUGCAUGGUUGUCGUCAGCUCGUGUCGUGAGAUGUUAGGUUAAGUCCCGCAACGAGCGCAACCCUUAUUGUUAGUUACCAGCACGUAAUGGUGGGGACUUUAGCAAGACUGCCAGUUAUAACAUGGAGGAAGGUGGGGACGACGUCAAAUCAUCAUGCCCCUUAUGACCUGGGCUACAAACGUGAUACAAUGGCUGUUACAAAGGGUAGCUGAA
rnacentral:rRNA from 1 species